GGUAGGUGACCUUGCGGAAGGAUCAUUA
rnacentral:rRNA from 1 species